GCUAUUUUGGCAGAUAAUUGCUUUGAAUUUAGAAUUCAAUUAUGUAUAUUUGAUUAUACAGAUAGUA
rnacentral:tRNA from 1 species